GACGAACGCUGGCGGCGUGCUUAACACAUGCAAGUCGAACGGAAAGGCCCUGCUUUUGUGGGUUGCUCGAGCGGCGAACGGGUGAGUAACACGUGAGUAACCUGCCCUUGACUUUGGGAUAACUUCAGGAAACUGGGGCUAAUACCGGAUAGGAGCUCCUGCUGCAUGGUGGUGGUUGGAAAGUUUCGGCGGUUGGGGAUGGACUCGCGGCUUACCAGCUUGUUUGUGGGGUAGUGGCUUACCAAGGCUUUGACGGGUAGCCGGCCUGAGAGGGUGACCGGGCACAUUGGGACUGAGAUACGGCGCAGAAUCCUACGGGAGGCAGCAGUGGGGAAUAUUGCGCAAUGGGCGGAAGCCUGAUGCAGCAACGCCGCGUGCGGGAUGACGGCCUUCGGGUUGUAAACCGCUUUCGCCUGUGACGAAGCGUGAGUGACGGUAAUGGGUAAAGAAGCACCGGCUAACUACGUG
rnacentral:rRNA from 1 species